UACGUAGGGUGCAAGCGUUAAUCGGAAUUACUGGUCGUAAAGCGUGCGCAGGCGGUUAUGUAAGACAGGGGUGAAAUCCCCGGGCUUAACCUGGGAACUGCAUUUGUGACUGCAUAGCUAGAGUACGGUAGAGGGGGAUGGAAUUCCGCGUGUAGCAGUGAAAUGCGUAGAUAUGCGGAGGAACACCGAUGGCGAAGGCAAUCCCCUGGACCUGUACUGACGCUCAUGCACGAAAGCGUGGGGAGCAAACAGG
rnacentral:rRNA from 1 species